GUGUUUAUUUUUACAAGAUUUUUUCAAUACAUGUUUUAAUGUCAGCAAAAAAGUUUAGGGGUGGUUUUUUACACAUCAUUUUCACGGGAAAUUUUUAUAAGUAAAUUGCCAAAAAGAUUGUUAAAAGUUGAGUUUGCGUGAACUAAACUAGUAGAACGUCUUCUCGUACUAGUAGUUUCUUUCACGUGAAGAUAACUGCUAAAACACCCAAAAAAUAUUAUAUGGUUAUUAAAUUUAGCGCCUUUGCCUUCCUUCCUGUACAGGCGCCUACCUUCCUGUACAGGAACAAGUCAACCCUGUUUCACAAUGAAAAUACAUUACAUGGUAUAUAUGUAUUAUAUAGGCACUCUAUAUGAGCAAGUAGCUUUCUAGCUAAGUUUUGGAAAGGUUGGCGUCUUUGAUUAAUGCAGAAAGCUCACUAAAAUGGCUUGAUGUUAUUUACUUAAUUAAUACUGUAUGAUUAGCCAGCCAUCUUUUUAUUAUAAGUUUAUUGUAAGGUUACAAAUAUGAUAUGUAUGUAGAUAUUAAAAUAUAUAAAGCUGUUUUAUUUUUAAAAGAAUACUAUUGUCUUUAUUUUUGUUAAAACAAUUUAUAUAAAAUGUUUGUUAUAAUUAGUAAAGUAAACAAUUUAAUAAUAAUAAAAAUAAUUUAUCAUAAGAAAAAUACUAAAAGUUGACAGAUUAUAGCAAGAAUUGGCUACCAAACUAUCUGGUAUUUUUAUUCGUUAUUUUUAUGUUACAUUAGUUUUUUAAAUGGGCCAAUUUUUACGGUCAUGUGUAGUUGUACCUUCAAUUGGUUUAUAACAGUCUCAAGCUGUACUAUUGCACCAAUUUAAAGAAAAGUCCUAAUGCCACCCCCUACUAAGAUAUCUUUGUUGAUAUAUUAUGCAAGUCGUAAAAGUAAAGGAUUUGCCUGCAAAUAAGGAAAAAAUAGACAUAGCAAUGUAAAUUUCAGCAGUUUUCCCCCGUCUUAAAUAUCAAAGUUAAAUUAACGGAAUCAGGCUACUUAUAUGUUAGGAUUUGAAAAUGGAACCAUGGAAAAUGGAAAGUUAGGCCACAUAACUGAGAACUUGUUGGUUUAGAGAAUUGUGAAGUGGAACAUAUGCUCCGAUAGUAUCAUCCAACAUAUCUGAAAAGACGAGUUGCUUGACAUGCCCUAACCACUAAAGCAAAUGCAGUUCUUAUUUUAAAACGAUAUCCAUGGUGUUUAAGAUAUAAAAAAAACUACAAGUUAUUUCUUAAAAUGUUUAACAGUUUUGUAUGUUUAACAGUUUUACAACAAUAUGUCAAAUAAAAUUAAUUAAAUGCUGCAUAUUUUAUUUGUGUGGAUUUGUUAUUAAUAAAGGUUCAAUGUUAGAUAAUCUAUAUUUAGUUGCUUUUUGAAUGGUAUUAUAUGAAAUACACUUA